rnacentral:tRNA from 1 species
GGUCCCAUCGUCUAACGGUUAGGACACCAGGUUUUCAUCCUGGCAAUCCGGGUGAGAAGUGCCAGUGGCACUU